rnacentral:rRNA from 1 species
UACGUAGGUGGCAAGCGUUGUCCGGAAUUAUUGGGCGUAAAGCGCGCGCAGGUGGUUCCUUAAGUCUGAUGUGAAAGCCCCCGGCUCAACCGGGGAGGGUCAUUGGAAACUGGGGAACUUGAGUGCAGAAGAGGAUAGUGGAAUUCCAAGUGUAGCGGUGAAAUGCGUAGAUAUCGGGAGGAACACCUGUGGCGAAAGCGGCGCACUGGACCACAACUGACGCUGAGGCGCGAAAGCUAGGGGAGCAAACAGG